GAUGAACGCUGGCGGCGUGCCUAACACAUGCAAGUCGAGCGAUUAAACGAGGACCUUACUGCUCUGAUGUUAGCGGCGGAUGGGUGAGUAACACGAGGAUAACCCACCUAUAACACUUUGUUAACUUCUGGAUACCGGCGUUAAUACUCGUUAACAUGCUGAACCGCAUGGUUCAUCAGUCAAAGACGGUCUUGCUGUCUCUUAUAGAUGGACCCGCGUCGUAUUAGCUAGUUGGUAAGGUAACGGCUUACCAAGGCAACGAUGCGUAGCCGACCUGAGAGGAUGGUCGGCCACACUGGAGCUGAGACGCGGUGGAGACUCCUAAGGGAGGCAGCAGUAGGGAAACAUACGCAAAAGGCGAGGGAAGGACGAGGCAACGCCGCGUGGGUAGAGAAGGUCUGCGGAGGGUAAAACGCUGUUGUUGGGGAAGAACAAAUGUGUAAUUAACUGUGCAUGUCUUGACGGUACCUGAUCAGUAAGCCACGGCUAACUACGUG
rnacentral:rRNA from 1 species